rnacentral:pre_miRNA from 1 species
AUCACCUGAGGAGCUUGUCAAAAGGCAGAUUCCGAUUGAGGAGGUCUGGGGUGGCACCUGAGAUUCUGCAUUCCUAACAAGUGCCCAGGUGAUGCCAA